rnacentral:rRNA from 1 species
GGUGGGAUACUACCCUAAUUGUAUUGGAUUUCUAACCCGCAGCACUUAUCGUGCUGGGAGACAGUGUCAGGCGGGCAGUUUGACUGGGGCGGUCGCCUCCUAAAGAGUAACGGAGGCGCUCAAAGGUUCCCUCAGAAUGGUUGGAAAUCAUUCAUAGAGUGUAAAGGCAUAAGGGAGCUUGACUGCGAGACCUACAAGUCGAGCAGGGUCGAAAGACGGACUUAGUGAUCCGGUGGUUCCGCAUGGAAGGGCCAUCGCUCAACGGAUAAAAGCUACCCCGGGGAUAACAGGCUUAUCUCCCCCAAGAGUUCACAUCGACGGGGAGGUUUGGCACCUCGAUGUCGGCUCAUCGCAUCCUGGGGCUGUAGUCGGUCCCAAGGGUUGGGCUGUUCGCCCAUUAAAGCGGUACGCGAGCUGGGUUCAGAACGUCGUGAGACAGUUCGGUCCCUAUCCGUCGUGGGCGUAGGAAAUUUGAGAGGAGCUGUCCUUAGUACGAGAGGACCGGGAUGGACAUACCUCUGGUGUACCAGUUGUCGUGCCAACGGCAUAGCUGGGUAGCUAUGUAUGGACGGGAUAAGUGCUGAAAGCAUCUAAGCAUGAAGCCCCCCUCGAGAUGAGAUUUCCCAACUUCGGUUAUAAGAUCCCUCAAAGAUGAUGAGGUGAAU